UGAGUAAUAUAUAGCUAAUCUGCCCCUUGCUGGAGGACAACGGUUAGAAAUGACUGCUAAUACUCCAUACUCCUUUUUACCAUAAGAUAAAUCGGGAAAGAAUUUCGGCAAGGGAUGAGACUAUAUCGUAUCAGCUAGUCGGUGGGGUAACGGCCUACCGAGGCUAUGACGCGUAACUGGUCUGAGAGGAUGAUCAGUCACAUUGGAACUGAGACACGGUCCAA
rnacentral:rRNA from 1 species